rnacentral:rRNA from 1 species
AUUGAACGCUGGCGGCAGGCUUAACACAUGCAAGUCGAACGAGUGGCGGACGGGUGAGUCAUGCUUGGGAAUCUGGCUUAUGGAGGGGGAUAACGACGGGAAACUGUCGCUAAUACCGCGUACCAUAGGAUGAGCCCAAGUGGGAUUAGGUAGUUGGUGGGGUAAUGGCCUACCAAGCCGACGAUGUUUAGCUGGUAUGAGAGGAUGACCAGCCAGACGGAGACUGGGACACGGCGAAGGCGACUACGGUAGGCAGGAGUGGGGAAAAUUGCGCAACUGGACGAACCUGACGGAUCCAUGCGGCGUGAAUGAAGAAGGCCUUCGGAUUGGAAAGUUCUUUCGGUGACGAGGCGGGCAUCGCAGAAGAAGGACCGGCGAACUCCGUGCCAGCAGCCGCGGUAAUAC